GCCCCCAUCGUCUAGUGGCCUAGGACACAGCCCUUUCAAGGCUGCGACAUGGGUUCGAACCCCAUUGGGGGCG
rnacentral:tRNA from 1 species